AGUGAACGCUGGCGGUAGGCCUAACACAUGCAAGUCGAACGGCCGCACAGUAAGAUCUUGCUCUUACGGGUGGCGAGUGGCGGACGGGUGAGGAAUACAUCGGAAUCUACUUUUUCGUGGGGGAUAACGUAGGGAAACUUACGCUAAUACCGCAUACGACCUACGGGUGAAAGCAGUGGAUCUUCGGACCUUGCGCGAUUGAAUGAGCCGAUGUCGGAUUAGCUAGUUGGCGGGGUAAAGGCCCACCAAGGCGACGAUCCGUAGCUGGUCUGAGAGGAUGAUCAGCCACACUGGAACUGAGACACGGUCCAGACUCCUACGGGAGGCAGCAGUGGGGAAUAUUGGACAAUGGGCGCAAGCCUGAUCCAGCCAUACCGCGUGGGUGAAGAAGGCCUUCGGGUUGUAAAGCCCUUUUGUUAGGAAAGAAAAGCAGCAGGUUAAUACCCCGCUGUUCUGACGGUACCCAAAGAAUAAGCACCGGCUAACUUCGUG
rnacentral:rRNA from 1 species